rnacentral:rRNA from 1 species
GGGUGAGUAACGCGUAAGGAACUUGCCUCUUGGUCUGGGACAACUGUUGGAAACGACAGCUAAUACCGGAUAUUAUGAGAUUCUCGCAUGGGAAACUUAUGAAAGCUAUAUGCGCCAAGAGAGAGCCUUGCGUUCCAUUAGCUAGUUGGUGGGGUAACGGCCCACCAAGGCGACGAUGGAUAGCCGGCCUGAGAGGGUGAACGGCCACAAGGGGACUGAGACACGGCCCUUACUCCUACGGGAGGCAGCAGUGGGGAAUAUUGGACAAUGGGCCACAAGCCUGAUCCAGCAAUUCUGUGUGCACGAUGAAGGUCUUCGGAUUGUAAAGUGCUUUCAGUUGGGAAGAAGAAAGUGACGGUACCAACAGAAGAAGCGACGGCUAAAUACGUGCCAGCAGCCGCGGUAAUACGUAUGUCGCAAGCGUUAUCCGGAUUUAUUGGGCGUAAAGCGCGUCUAGGCGGAAAAAUAAGUCUGAUGUUAAAAUGCGGGGCUCAACUCCGUAUUGCGUUGGAAACUGUUUUUCUAGAGUACUGGAGAGGUGGGCGGAACUACAAGUGUAGAGGUGAAAUUCGUAGAUAUUUGUAGGAAUGCCGAUGGAGAAGUCAGCUCACUGGACAGAUACUGACGCUAAAGCGCGAAAGCGUGGGGAGCAAACAGGA